rnacentral:lncRNA from 1 species
UAAAAUUCUCAGUCAAGUCCCUCACAGCAUGCGUAUUUUACACAUACGCACCUCCAUGUCCGAUCUCACGCAAUUCGGCACAUAAAAUAUAGGGUCUCUUCGCGAUUUAUCCGUUUUGCCACUUUGACCCCACAGCGAAAAUCUCGUAAUUCCCGGAGAUCCGUCCGUCGGAUUUUCGAUCCGACAGCACCAUUGCGUUCAACACGUUGGGGGCAUCAAAACUACAAUGAUGAUUCGUCCGAUUUGGUCACGGAUUCGCGACGGAACCCAUCCGCUCUCUAAUUAAUCCGUAUAUCGCACAUAUACCAAAACAUAAACCCUAAAAUCUUUAAUUCAAAUUCAAAUUUGAAUUCUCUACCACCAGUAGGUACCAAAAACAACUCUCACCUAUCUCCAGAUCACUUGUACAAAGCACGAGGAGUUUUAAAAUGCAUGAAUAGCAAAGAGCGGAAACCCUCUUUUUAUUAAAACUCCUUUUACUCGAAAACCGUGCGUCAGAUCCAAAAUCCGUCAGUGCCAUUGGUUCCAGAAUAGCUGAACCGUUCGAAACG